AUUGAACGCUGGCGGCAGGCCUAACACAUGCAAGUCGAGCGGAUGAAGGGAGCUUGCUCCUGGAUUCAGCGGCGGACGGGUGAGUAAUGCCUAGGAAUCUGCCUGGUAGCGGGGGAUAACGUCCGGAAACGGGCGCUAAUACCGCAUACGUCCUGAGGGAGAAAGUGGGGGAUCUUCGGACCUCACGCUAUCAGAUGAGCCUAGGUCGGAUUAGCUAGUUGGUGGGGUAAAGGCCUACCAAGGCGACGAUCCGUAACUGGUCUGAGAGGAUGAUCAGUCACACUGGAACUGAGACACGGUCCAGACUCCUACGGGAGGCAGCAGUGGGGAAUAUUGGACAAAGGGCGAAAGCCUGAUCCAGCCAUGCCGCGUGUGUGAAGAAGGUCUUCGGAUUGUAAAGCACUUUAAGUUGGGAGGAAGGGCAGUAAGUUAAUACCUUGCUGUUUUGACGUUACCAACAGAAUAAGCACCGGCUAACUUCGUG
rnacentral:rRNA from 1 species